GGUCGGGGCUGAUGGCUAAGUUUCUCUCUUGAGUUUAUAAGUAGGUGAUGGUGAUGCAACCCACCGGAAGUACUACAGAAGAAAGAGCCGGCUGGGAGACGAUCACGAGCUACAUUUUGGAUGUUAAAUUUAAGAUAAACAAGACCCACAUGAACCCUAUUUCAUGCAGCCAGAACUCUCCUGCCAGGUUUGGUCAAACCACCACAAACCAGCAGGAUCCCGCAUCAACCCAGCCCUGUGUACUCGCCUUUCCUGCCACAGGCUUCUGAACAGUCUGACCUACGGGGAACAAACGCAAAAGCCUGCCCCGCCAGCCCAGCUUCCCGCGUGGGCAUGACCACCUGUUUGCCAUCAAAGGCUGAAAUUCAAGCAAGAAAGGCUUCUUUGCCAUGUUAUUUUGUCAAGUAAAUCUGUCUACCCAGAGGAGAGGUGCUCUGACAAGUCCCUGUAUUACCUGCGAUGGAGGCGGACAGGAGCUGCUCUCCCCAGGACCAGAUGCCGAUUCGAUCCUGAUUAGCUGAAUUAGGUAGAAAUCUCCAGAGCCCUUCCUAAUGCAGUUCUGAUGGAUGUCCAUCUCGGCCAUCAAUUCCCGGGGCACCCAACCUGCGACAGUGACCAGAAAAACCUAGUAACGAGUCUUCAACUAUGGGACAUCCUCAUGAUAAAUGCUCUUGGAUUGCCCCGUGUGGCUACAUCGCUACAAACGUGCUGUCAGCAGACCCGGCAGCAUCAGUGUCCCAGGAGAUGAAUUCAACCACAAGACUCAGCCUGGAAGAGGACCCCAGAGGAGACCCACAGCCCCAGUCAACACUUUGAUUUCAGCCCAGUGAGAACCUGAGAAGAGCAUCCAGCCCCACGACACCCGGACUUCUGAUCUGCAGAAACUGAGAUCUCUUUGGAGGUGUGGCUGCCAUAGAAACAUUCAGUCCACCAGUGAUGGAGAAACAGGAGGGUGUGAGCCACAGUGCUCCUUCUCCAACAGCCGGCAAAGGAGGAGAAAAGUCUGAAGAUGUUGGAGCCAAGACAGCCAUGGAGUGGGGCUGGGCACAUCACCGAGCAGCUGGAGAAACCCCAUAUGGGGGGAAGAGAGUACACUGAAUGUGAGCACUUCUGGUUGAUGAGAGUAAACGCACCAGAGGGAAGUGGAUCCCUGGUCCACGCCGACUCCCUGCAGCUCCAGCCUGCAGCCCAGUGCCUGCAGGAUUCAGCUGCUAAUUCCAGGAACAAGAGUGAUGGUCCUGAAACCCAGCCUCCUCUUGGGUCUGUUCUCAGGAAGGUCUCACCCACGUCGGGUUGUAAGCCUGCCUGAAGCGAUGUCUCUACUGUCUGGGUGCAGAUGGAACUCCGGACUGAAAUGAAAAACACGGCAUAAUCAGAUGACUUGCAGAUGGAGCGGGAUUCGCCUCCAGAGGCAGGACCAGACAUGGAGUGACUUUCUCCCGCGAAUCGUGUGCUUCCCCAGGGUAUACUUGACAUCCUGACAUCCUGAAGACGUUGUUAAUGAUACUUGCUUUUCAACUGUUGGAGACCGUCAGCCACCGUAGCCUCUGCAGAAGCUACAAUGGGAGGAAAGCCGCACAGCGCAGCCAGGCCAGGGCUCUUGGGGUUGG